GCUCCUGCACACACAGCGCGAGUGACGCAGCCCCUAGGCGAGGACAUGACGUCACCUUCCUGUUCUAUGUCAGAACGAAGGAAGGAGGCAGCGAGCCUGACCCGCCCCCAAAACGAGCGAAUUUGGGAUUUUUCCCGGCCGACGGGGAGCGAGGAGCAGCGGGCGAUACCACGGCGAGUUGGGCUGCGAUCGUCGCUCUCCCCGCAGGAGAGGGGGGAGCUGCCUACGUCUGCGGAUGAACUUGUAACAUCGCUGCUUCUCUUGCUGCAGUAAGGCCAAGGAGGAUGGAGGGCAUGGCCAGCUCCAAGACUUCACUGAGUCUCCCCAAGGCAGGAAAGGAGCUUCAGUCCUAGAGAUUUGGGAUGUUACUGGCGUGGGAGCACUGCACCUCCAUCUCAUGCUUCUCAGCAACUGGAAACACCUGGGCAGGCAGCUCUUACCUGGGCACGGUGGGAAGAAGACACCCCAGAAGGGUCGUCUUUGGAGCAGGUGCCCCCCAGAGAAGGAGAGGCUGAGUGGUCUUCAAGACCAAGGAGCGUGGCGUUUCAGGUGAGGCGUCUGCAUUGAAGCGAAGGAAGACUGGAUAUUUAAGGGACUAGCUCAGCUCUGGAACAGCAGCAGGUGCCAACAUGAGUGGCAUGUUUGGGUGCCAGCUCUGCAGCAUACAUUGCUGGGACAGGAGCGUCAGACAGCUGGUGUGCGAGGCUGGGUUUCAUCUGCUCCUGCUGCUAGGAGGGAGAGGUAGCACUCUGCUGCAGGCAGUGGCAGCCAAAGGGGCGGAGGGUGACAAAAGCUGGUGGCACAGCACGUAUCCAGCUUCUCUUCUUGCACAGGCGAGACGCAAAAUGACGUUCCUGUGAAAGCAGAAAUUCCAGCUGCCAAACCACAUGCUCCUCUACACAGUAAGGAGAAUCAAAACAUGCAUACGCUCAUGGAGCAAAAUUGUUGUGUUUUCAUCCCAAUAAAUCUUCACACAGCCCAUGAAGAGGGAUGUGCCUCCCUCUGUGAGCACCCUUUAUUUCCUGCAACCAUGAAAUAAAGAACCACAGGAGCU